rnacentral:rRNA from 1 species
GAUGAACGCUGGCGGCGUGCCUAAUACAUGCAAGUCGAGCGAAUGGAUUAAGAGCUUGCUCUUAUGAAGUUAGCGGCGGACGGGUGAGUAACACGUGGGUAACCUGCCCAUAAGACUGGGAUAACUCCGGGAAACCGGGGCUAAUACCGGAUAACAUUUUGAACCGCAUGGUUCGAAAUUGAAAGGCGGCUUCGGCUGUCACUUAUGGAUGGACCCGCGUCGCAUUAGCUAGGUGGUGAGGUAACGGCUCACCAAGGGAACGAUGCGUAGCCGCCCAGGGAGGGUGAUCGGGCCAACUGGGACAGGGACACGGCCCAGACGCCUACGGGGGGGAGCAGGAGGGAAUCUUCCGAAAUGGACGAAAGGCUUACGGAGCACCGCCGCGUGAAGGAUGAAGGCUUUCGGGUCGUAAAACUCUGUUGUUAGGGAAGAACAAGUGCUAGUUGAAUAAGCUGGCACCUUGACGGUACCUAACCAGAAAGCCACGGCUAACUACGUGCCAGCAGCCGCGGUAA